UGACCUAUAGCAACGCCAAAUAAGACAACAGUUUUCACACCGUUGCAAUAUAUAGUCUAUAGAAACACUAUUUCGAGUGUGAAGAUAGCUUCAUCCGGGUUUAAUAAAAGCGUUGCCAUAAUUGAGAAAAGGCAACGGUUAUAUCUUUUUUUUAUAGUUUUCUUAGCUACUGCAACACUUUCUACCCUAUGAACAUGAUAUUUUUCUUUUCUUUGGAAUUUCCCUUAACCUAAAAUCCCCUCAUCUUUUCAUUAAUUAUCUAAUUCGAUUUUUCACAUUCUGUCACUAGCCCACCAAAACCCCUCAAUCUCAUCCAAAAUUUCCCUCAUAUCUAAAUUCUUCCCUUAACAAACUUAAUUAUUUUUUCCCCUUUAAUUUCAUAUCUUAAAAAUCUGAAUUAAAUUAGGGUUUCAAUUUUGGUAAUCAAUCUCUCUCACUUUCUAUCUCCUCCAAUGCCGUCAAUGGUGAACAAUUCAGUCCCACUUUCAUCAUCAUCCCCGUUAACGGUGUGGGCAACAACUUUUAGGGUUAAUCAGUGAUCGCGGUCGUGCAAAGCUUCAGAAGUCGCGCAACCUUGAGUAGUUCUGCAAGUUGUCAUCGCCGGAAGCCAAAGCGGCGACAAGUCGAUUGUUCUCAAAGCUCUCGUGGCCUGCGGUAUCUCACCACGAGGGUGCAGAUUAAGAGGAGCGGGGUGAGUUCUUGUAUAUUUAUCGAAAAAAUUUAUGAUUUUAAUGAUAUUCAUAAGGAAAUUCAGGUGAUUGUGAUUGAUAUUGCGUUUUUGUUAUAUUUAUGAAAUUUAGGUAUUUCUUCGUGAGAAAAAAAGAAGAUUUGAUUUUUUAUUUAUAAGUGUUUAUGGAAAAUUAUUAUUAAUUCAUGGAUACCUUGACAACUUUGAUGUUAGAAUAGUCGUAUGAGUUGUAAUGGAUAUUUAAAUUAGAGGAAAAUGAGUUGAAUAUAAUGUUUGAAAAUGAUGAUCUCCUUGCUUUUGAGUUAGUGUUUUCGUGGUUUUUAGGGCUCUUCCUUUAUUUGUGUUGUCAUGGAAUUAUUAUAGGAACAUGGAGGUCAAAUUUCUAACACUAUAUCUACUUUUUACUAAAUUUACAUGCGAAGCAGAGCCCUCGGUAGAGUUUCCCACCACCAUUUGUGACCUCACAAUAUAAUGUUUGUAGAUGCUAAUCAUCAUAGAAAUUAUAUACAAUAUAUAAUCUUACACUAUAUUGUGUUCUUCUGAUUUUUGUUAAUCAGAGAAGAAGUCAUGCUUUUUAAUUAUAAAGAAACACAUCCCAAUUUCAAAGAGUCUUAGGAUUCCUUAAGAAAACAUGGGUGAACUCAUAAGCAAUUAUUUUGGUAAGACAAUGACAGAGUAUUCAUCCUUGCCUGUGGGGCUUAUUUCAGUAUAGUAUAGUUGUUACCCUUUUUCUUUCUUUUUUAUUGAGACCUUACUUGUUGCCUGCUGAUUUUUUCUGAUUACACAAGCACAAAUCCAUGACCAGGCUUGCCUAUAGAAACAUAUAUUAGAAUUUUUUUCUAAAUGCACAGUUGACCCAUAUAACACUCAAAGUGUUAGGGGAGGUAUAAAAGGAUAUCAAAUACCUUUUACUAUAUAUGUUUUCAUGUUGUAAAUCUAUAUGGUCAACCAGGUCUAGACCUCAAUGGAGAAGGAUAUUGCCUUGGACAUUACCAAGGAAUUGAACAACAGGGUAGAACAAUUCUUUGUAUAUUUUUAGCUUUCACAAUUCUAAGCAGCUGAAUGAAAUGCUGGACAAUCUAAUGUUUACUUUAUUGCUUCAGUAGUACAAAUAUUAACCACAAUGAGGACUAUGGAGGCUCCUGCAUGAGGUAAAGCCACUUCGUAUUUUUUUAUAACUAAGCUACAAGUGUGGAAUCAUUUCGUGUACAACUUAUCUAAGAGAAUGUAUUACAUUUUGUGUUGAUAGACAAAUUAAAAAGCUAAUUAAAUGCUUGAUUAGGGAAAUGAGAAGGAUAUUCUUGAAAAUGAAAAUUCAGGUGAGAGUUUUCUAUUAGUAUUAUGCUGCUCUGUUUUGAAUAUUUGAUACGAGUUAUGUCACAUUCUGUUUCUCAAAAAAUUAGGUUGCUUUUACAUUAGCUUUUCUUGUUCUCUAAUGAGUAAAAUAACUCUUGGCUAUUUAAAAAGACGGGACAAGUGAACCAUGAAAUAAAGAGAACAUUUGCGUUGAAGAACCUACUUAGAUAAUUAUUAGUUUAAUUUCGUUAUUUGGGAGUUGCUAUUCAUGAUUUAGAAGAGUUGUCUGAAUUCCAACUCCAACUACAUGAAUAUCAUAAUGCAGUCGCCACUUCUUAUGGUUGUUUGUAAAAGUUGUUAAACCCUUGCGCUUUAAUUAAUGAUUCAUCUUCUAUCUUGUAAUAUAAAGUAAUUAACCACCAUUUUCUUGCAGGCUCAUACUUGAUAGUUCUUUUUGUUAUACCAGGCUUCUAUUCAAAGGAUGAUAAUUAUCAUGACAUGAGCUCAUCGUUAUUGAUUAGGAUAAUACAUAUGUUCAAAUUUCAAGUAUUACAAGCUUCAUGGAUAAGUGAAGAUCUAUUGGAUUUUUUCAUAUAAUAUUAGAUAGGUCUUAGAAGAUAUAGUUUACCGGGCCAUGGCCUUGGAAUAUUUAUUUUAGUGGAUGUAACAUUAGAAAUAAUAUUUUCUCUGCUAAGAUGGUUGUAAAUCAUGGAAUGAAUAGUGUGUUUAUGGGUUAAAGUUAAUUUGGAAUGCGCUAUAAGUUUUCUGGA